GAUUAUGAGUGUGUCUACGCAUUUUAGAACAGUCAGCAGCCUCAUCUGCAGAGAAUCUUCCAGUUUCCCUAGUCCCAGAAGAGGAGCUGAGUCAGCUGCUUUUUCAGCACUUGGAACAUGCCAUUCUCUGGGAUUACUGGCAUCCAUUGUUUGUGAUGAGAAGUCAGCUGUUAUCCUUAUCGAGGUUUCUUGUACCUCAUUUAAGACUUGUAUGUGGAUGCCUUAUCAUAUUUAAUCUUCUAAGGCUCUUCCUGGCUGUAACACUUUCUCAGACUCCAGCAAGACUUAUCACUGUUGAUGUUGACUUUGAUCACCUGGCUGAAAUGGCAUUUGUCAGAUUUCUCCACUGUAAAGUUACAUUUUUAUUCCCUUUCCAUGGUAUACCCUUUGGAAGGAAGUGAUUAUGAGGGAUCUACACUUAAGGAAUGAGGAGUUAUGCUCCCCUUCCUAAGAAUAAAAUAGUUACAAAAAUUAUUUGGAAUUCUUCUGCAUGAGACAUUUGUCCCCUCUCUAUUUAUUUAGUCAGUCACAUUUAUAUCAGUUGGACUCAAAGAUAUUUAUUUUAUACUUUGAGCUAUAAUUUAAUAUUACUUUAUUUUGUUGUUCAAAUUGCUCCAGAUGUAACAUUGCUAUUGGUUUCUUUAAAGUAAAGUUCAAAUUUAAUUUGAUUUCUAAA
rnacentral:lncRNA from 10 species